rnacentral:rRNA from 1 species
CCAAUAGCGUAUAUUAAAGUUGUUGCAGUUAAAAAGCUCGUAGUUGAAUUUCGGGAUCAAAUAAUCGGUCGUGCCUCCGGUACGUACUGGUUUUAUUGGUUCCUCCCUUCUGACGAACCAUGAUGUCAUUAAUUUGAUGUGGUGGAGAAUCAGGACUGCUACCUUGAAAAAAUUAGAGUGUUUAAAGCAGGCUAACGCUUGAAUCCAUUAGCAUGGAAUAAUGAAAUAGGACGUUCGACCCUAUGUUGUUGGUUUCUAGGAUCGACGUAAUGAUUAAUAGGGAUAGGUGGGGGCAUUAGUAUUCAAUUGUCAGAGGUGAAAUUCUUGGAUUUAUUGAAGACUAACUACUGCGAAAGCAUUUGCCAAGGAUGUUUUCAUUAAUCAAGAACGAAAGUUAGGGGAUCGAAGACGAUCAGAUACCGUCGUAGUCUUAACCAUAAACUAUGCCGACUAGGGAUCGGAUGAUGUUAAUUUUUUAAUGACUCAUUCGGCGCCUUACG